rnacentral:ncRNA from 1 species
AGUAUGGGGAAGCGAUCUCCCCAUGAGGCGACAGCUGAAGAAUCGCGCCCGUCUUUAUUCGAGGGCGCAUCAUG